CGAUAAUAGUGCUACGAUCGUUUCGUGGAAAGGGGCCAUAAAUAGCUUUAUGCAUGUACAGACAGAAAUAAUGCGAACGAAUCCCAAAAUGACGGCACCAAGCACGCUGAUAACGAAGGUGGGUGUGACGUGGUUCUCAUUGAGCGCAACACGAGCUCCAUACAGCGGGUUGUACUCGACAUGUCCGGCGUCAGCUUCAUUGAUUCCAUGGGAGUGAACGCCUUAAAACAGGUUAUACUAGACUACAAAUCUGUAGACAUCAUUAUGUACGUUGUAGGACUUCGAGAAUGUUGUCUGGGGAUCUUGAAUGAAGCUGGCUUUCUGGACACAUAUCAUGAUCAUCUUCUUUUAACAGUUGAUGACGUAACCACGGGUCAUCUAAAAAACUAAAAAAAAAAGUAUUCCGAGACUUUUUUAUAUCCGGGCAAUUCAAGGGUGACUGACAUUACAUUUUUAACCAAUUUUUUAAUUUAAAAUACACGUACAUGUACUUUCUUUUCUAUUGCAUCCAGACAUUGCUUGCUGUUAUCAGAUGGCCAUAAUACUAGCAUUCAAAACACAGACCAACUUAAGUAAACUUUGAUGAUCAUUUAAUUAACUGUGACUGAUGUUAAAAAUACCACUUUCGAGAACACCUGAUGUCAUCACUGGUUUUACAGUGAUUCGUGAGUGCAUGCCAUCACAGCCGUAUAUCUUCCACUAAUCUUUAUCCUGUGCAAGUUUGGGUUUUCUAAGCAUCCUGGGAGUGGCAGUCCUCCUACUGGGGGUGCAAGAGGGAUGAAAAACAUCAUGUAACGUAUUUCCUAGAGGAAUGGCGGUCCUAAAUACGAGCACCUAAUAGUGAAUCAUGGAAGCAAUCGCGACUUUGUCUAACAUCCUUUCGACUCUGUCUUGUGUAGAACUACGAUUUUGAUAUCGGAAUACGGUUUCGUCGUUCAGUUUACGAUUAGUCUGAUGAAUUUGUAUUACAGCAUUAAGUAUCUUAUGGUCUUCUGAUAUGAAACACAAAAUGCGUGAAGAUGUAAAUUUAGACACCAUAGAACUGUCCGCCCUGUUAUUUCAUGAUAAUCAACGAACUGACGUUUCCCCAUGCUUAUUAACAACAUAACGUUAAAUACAUUCCGAAUGCAAUGCCUAUUUGAUUAACAACAUAACGUUAAAUACAUUCCGAAUGCAAUGCCUAUUUGAUUAACAACAUAACGUUAAAUACAUUCCGAAUGCAAUGCCUAUUUGAUUAACAACAUAACGUUAAAUACAUUCCGAAUUCAAUGCCUAUUUGAUUAACAACAUAACGUUAAAUACAUUCCGAAUUGUUUCAAAACGUUUUUUUUUUUACAUGUAAUCUAACUGUACCUAUGUUAGGAAAAUCCAUAUUUUAUUAUUUUACUAUCAUGACGGUAAACGCUCCUGAUACUAACCCCAUGUUCUUUCAUAAACUAGGCAUAUAUACCAGGGCCGUGUCUAGCGGUGGUCAAGGGGAAGCCCCCCCCCCCCCCCCCUCCCCCCAGAAAAUACGAGUGUUAUAUUAUGAUUUAAAAGUGCCCCAAUUCUUAUGUUUUUACCACAGAGCCGGUUUAUCCUAGUAGCACAUGUAGCACGUGCUACGGGCCCCGCACUUCAGGGGGCCCCGCGGUCAUGUGUACAUUUAUUUCCCCAGCUCAUUUCCCCCUCUCACCGAGGGGGUUGCAAAAUAUAUAUCCUGGGAAGGGGGUACCCGCUGUUAUUUGUGCUGCAGACUCCGCGGAUCCUUAAACCGUCUCUGAGUGCAUAACUGCCUCCCGUACCCGUGUGCACUUGCGAUGAUCUUAGCGGUAAGAGUAAGAUCAAUUUAAAGGAAGGAAAUGGUUUAUUUAACGACGCACUCAACACAUUUUAUUUACGGUUAUACGGCGUCGGAGAUAUGGUUAAGGACCAGACAGAUAUUGAGGGAGGAA